GAUGAACGCUGGCGGCGUGCCUAAUACAUGCAAGUCGAGCGAACGGACGAGAAGCUUGCUUCUCUGAUGUUAGCGGCGGACGGGUGAGUAACACGUGGAUAACCUACCUAUAAGACUGGGAUAACUUCGGGAAACCGGAGCUAAUACCGGAUAAUAUUUUGAACCGCAUGGUUCAAAAGUGAAAGACGGUCUUGCUGUCACUUAUAGAUGGAUCCGCGCUGCAUUAGCUAGUUGGUAAGGUAACGGCUUACCAAGGCAACGAUGCAUAGCCGACCUGAGAGGGAGAUCGGCCACACUGGAACUGAGACACGGUCCAGACUCCUACGGGAGGCAGCAGUAGGGAAUCUUCCGCAAUGGGCGAAAGCCUGACGGAGCAACGCCGCGUGAGUGAUGAAGGUCUUCGGAUCGUAAAACUCUGUUAUUAGGGAAGAACAUAUGUGUAAGUAACUGUGCACAUCUUGACGGUACCUAAUCAGAAAGCCACGGCUAACUCCGUG
rnacentral:rRNA from 1 species